rnacentral:rRNA from 1 species
GAUGAACGCUGGCGGCGUGCCUAAUACAUGCAAGUCGAGCGAACAGACGAGGAGCUUGCUCCUCUGACGUUAGCGGCGGACGUGUGAGUAACACGUGGAUAACCUACCUAUAAGACUGGGAUAACUUCGGGAAACCGGAGCUAAUACCGGAUAAUAUAUUGAACCGCAUGGUUCAAUAGUGAAAGACGGUUUUGCUGUCACUUAUAGAUGGAUCCGCGCCGCAUUAGCUAGUUGGUAAGGUAACGGCUUACCAAGGCGACGAUGCGUAGCCGACCUGAGAGGGUGAUCGGCCACACUGGAACUGAGACACGGUCCAGACUCCUACGGGAGGCAGCAGUAGGGAAUCUUCCGCAAUGGGCGAAAGCCUGACGGAGCAACGCCGCGUGAGUGAUGAAGGUCUUCGGAUCGUAAAACUCUGUUAUUAGGGAAGAACAAAUGUGUAAGUAACUAUGCACGUCUUGACGGUACCUAAUCAGAAAGCCACGGCUAACUACGUG